GACAGGGGAUGCAAGCGUUACUCGGAAUUACUGGGCGUAAAGCGUCCGUAGGCGUCUCGCCAAGUCUGGGGUUAAAGUUCGGAGCUCAACUCCGUGCCUGUUCCGGAAACUAGCGAGAUUGAGUCAUUCAGAGGUACCUGGAAUGCCAUGUGGAGGGGUAAAAUCCGUAGAUACAUGGUGGAACGCCAAAAGCGAAGGCAGGGUACUGGGGAUGCACUGACGCUGAGGGACGAAAGCGUGGGGAGCAAAGGGG
rnacentral:misc_RNA from 1 species